rnacentral:rRNA from 1 species
AUUGAACGCUGGCGGAAUGCUUUACACAUGCAAGUCGAGCGGCAGCACGGGGGCAACCCUGGUGGCGAGCGGCGAACGGGUGAGUAAUACAUCGGAACAUGCCCAGUCGUGGGGGAUAACACUUCGAAAGAAGUGCUAAUACCGCAUACGUCCUGAGGGAGAAAGCGGGGGAUCUUCGGACCUCGCGCGAUUGGAGUGGCCGAUGUCAGAUUAGCUAGUUGGUGGGGUAAAGGCCUACCACGGCAACGAUCUGUAGCUGGUCUGAGAGGAUGAUCAGCCACGCUGGGACUGAGACACGGCCCAGACUCCUACGGGAGGCAGCAGUGGGGAAUGUUGGACAAUGGGGGCAACCCUGAUCCAGCCAUUCCGCGUGAGUGAAGAAGGCCUUCGGGUUGUAAAGCUCUUUCGGCAGGAACGAAACGGCGAGCUCUAACAUAGCUUGCUAAUGACGGUACCUGAAGAAGAAGCACCGGCUAACUACGUGCCAGCCGCCGCCGUAACAC